UUAGAUUUUAUUUAUUAAUUUUUUAUAUUUUUGAAUAAAUUAUUAAAAAUAAUUAUAUAAUAAAAAGUUUUAGUAUUGUUUAAAGAAAAAAUAAAUUUAAUUAUAGUUUAUUAGUAUUGUAAAAGAAAAUUGCAAUAUUUUGAAAAA
rnacentral:rRNA from 1 species